GUCGAGCGAACAGAUAAGGAGCUUGCUCCUUUGACGUUAGCGGCGGACGGGUGAGUAACACGUGGAUAACCUACCUAUAAGACUGGGAUAACUUCGGGAAACCGGAGCUAAUACCGGAUAACAUAUUGAACCGCAUGGUUCAAUAGUGAAAGGCGGCUUUGCUGUCACUUAUAGAUGGAUCCGCGCCGUAUUAGCUAGUUGGUAAGGUAACGGCUUACCAAGGCAACGAUACGUAGCCGACCUGAGAGGGUGAUCGGCCACACUGGAACUGAGACACGGUCCAGACUCCUACGGGAGGCAGCAGUAGGGAAUCUUCCGCAAUGGGCGAAAGCCUGACGGAGCAACGCCGCGUGAGUGAUGAAGGUCUUCGGAUCGUAAAACUCUGUUAUCAGGGAAGAACAAAUGUGUAAGUAACUGUGCACAUCUUGACGGUACCUGAUCAGAAAGCCACGGCUAACUACGUGCCAGCAGCCGCGGUAAUACGUAGGUGGCAAGCGUUAUCCGGAAUUAUUGGGCGUAAAGCGCGCGUAGGCGGUUUUUUAAGUCUGAUGUGAAAGCCCACGGCUCAACCGUGGAGGGUCAUUGGAAACUGGAAAACUUGAGUGCAGAAGAGGAAAGUGGAAUUCCAUGUGUAGCGGUGAAAUGCGCAGAGAUAUGGAGGAACACCAGUGGCGAAGGCGACUUUCUGGUCUGUAACUGACGCUGAUGUGCGAAAGCGUGGGGAUCAAACAGGAUUAGAUACCCUGGUAGUCCACGCCGUAAACGAUGAGUGCUAAGUGUUAGGGGGUUUCCGCCCCUUAGUGCUGCAGCUAACGCAUUAAGCACUCCGCCUGGGGAGUACGACCGCAAGGUUGAAACUCAAAGGAAUUGACGGGGACCCGCACAAGCGGUGGAGCAUGUGGUUUAAUUCGAAGCAACGCGAAGAACCUUACCAAAUCUUGACAUCCUUUGACCGCUCUAGAGAUAGAGUCUUCCCCUUCGGGGGACAAAGUGACAGGUGGUGCAUGGUUGUCGUCAGCUCGUGUCGUGAGAUGUUGGGUUAAGUCCCGCAACGAGCGCAACCCUUAAGCUUAUUUGCCAUCAUUAAGUUGGGCACUCUAAGG
rnacentral:rRNA from 1 species